AGGUCCCAUUCAUUUCUUCUUUUGCAUUCCCAACCGACUUCUUCUGCAUUCUUCCUGAGCGAACGACGUCACUUCUUUCAUCAUUUCUUCUCGCUCUGUUGGGCUUCGAACGUGUUGAAUAGUUUCUACGUGGUCAGAUGGUAUGAGCUGCAAGGGGAGAGAAAGGGUUGAAGAUAUUGAUCUGGAGAAAUUUUUAUUUUCUUGAGAUAAAAAUUGCAGUGAUAAUAACACUUUGCUGUUGAGGAAGAAGAGGAAGAACAUGUCCUCAUCAAAUUCUCCGUGCGCAGCAUGCAAAUGCCUCCGGCGGAAAUGCACUCAAGAGUGUGUAUUUGCACCGUAUUUUCCGCCAGACCAACCCCAGAAAUUUAUCAAUGUCCACAGGGUCUUUGGAGCAAGCAAUGUUGCCAAGCUUCUCAAUGAACUUGGCACUGGUCAGCGAGAAGACGCAGUUAAUUCGCUUGCCUAUGAGGCUGAGUACAGACUCCGAGAUCCCGUCUAUGGCUGUGUAGGCCUAAUCUCCAUCCUCCAACAGAAGCUGAAGCAAGUCCAACAUGAUUUAAACAAUGCAAAGAAGGAGUUAGCUACCUAUAUCGGGCCCUCCGCCAUGUUGCCAAUUUUUCAGCACCCGGGUUUCAUGCAACAGCAUCCUAAUAACCCCUCGGCAUCUACAGUGAUGCCUUAUGCUAUGCAGCCGAUGAUGGGGUUGCCAACAGGUGUGGCGGCUCCGCAUGGUGGUCCAUUGAUUAUCCGCGAUGCUCAGCAGCAGCAGCAAAUGUACGAGGCACAGCAAUAUGCAGCUGCAGUUGCAGCCAGGGAUCAGGAGAUGUUUAGAGCAUACGAGCAGCAGCAACAGCAGCAGCCACCACCGCAGGAGCUUAUGAGGUUUAACAGUGGUUUUGAAGGGGCUGGACCGGCAGCUGCUACGGCCUUCAAUACCAUGAGUUGUGGUGCUGCAAUGUCCCCAUCCUUGGCUUUGGGCUCAUAUGAAGCCGUCCCUUAUCAUCAGAUUUCUCAACAGCAGCAGCAGCUGCCUCCGGAGCAUUCCCAUUCCCACCAUCACCACCAUAAUCAGUUUCAGCUUGAGUCUCAACUGAUGCUUCAACAGCAGCAGCCGCAACAGCUGCCACUGCAGUCUCAUCACCAGCCUCAAGCUGCCCAGCAGCAACAUCCACAGAGAGCCAAGAGUGAGGAGGGCAGGAGCGUUGGUCCUUCCUGUUGAUAUGCUUGUUCCCAAAAGUCUCAAAAUGCUUCCUAAUUCUAGCUUAGUUCUUGCACCAAAUUUUCUUCCUGGUCAUUUUUGCUGUAAACAAUCGCACAAAGGAGAGAGAGAGAGAGAGAGUGCAUGCGUGUGGAGAGUGGAAGAGAAUCACAUAAGAGCGAAAGAUUGUCGUAACUAACUUCUUCAUUUUUUUUUUUUUUUUGGUUUGGUUUGGUUGUUGCUGUGCUUCCUGUAAAAUUUCACUUUUUGGGAAGCUUCGAGAAGAUAUUAUUGGAGGCACAUAUUAAAAAAAUGUAGUAGGAGUUUCUUUCUUGUGAAUUUUACAGAGAGUAAGUAGAGUAGUAUCCUCUUUUUGCCUGCCAGUCAGAGGUGAAGUUUUUCGUUUUUGGGAACCGUAUAGAGAAUAAAUGAAAAGCUUCUUUGCCUGUAGCGUAGCUGGUCUGAGAUCAAUAAUUACUUCAUUUUUUUUUUUUUGAGGCAAUUUUUUGUUCAUCCCGAGAAGGUUGUCGAGACGGGACUGGUCUUCUUCAUGUGAUGGAAAUGGAGUCUGCGACGCAACCAUUUUCUAUUUUCCUCUUUUCUUGUUGCCCAAAGGUACCGGUGGCUUUGUUUGUUGAAGCAUCUGUUUGU